CAUGGACUUUGCCCACCCAAGCAGGACAAGGUCAGAAAACUACAAGGCCCUUCACAUUCCAGGCUGGAAAGUCAAAGAUGAGCAGAACUGUGCUUGGCCUCAGUGGGUCAUCAUCUGGAGAAGAACGACCGACAUGAAAACCCAUGACUCCCAGAAAGCACCAGCCAUGCAGGUGGGAGAGGUCCUUCAAGCACACAUCUACAGAUAA
ensembl:lncRNA